ensembl:lncRNA
CAACGCACUCUCACCACAGGCGCCGGGAGGAGUCUGCAGUACACGGGCCUGCCCACUAGCAGGCGCUGUGCAGUUGUCCUUGCCCCAACGCCACCGUCGCCUCCACCAAGCAGGGUGUCAUCGUCCAGCUGCUGUCCCACUACGACACCUCCCGGGCCCCCGGAAACACACCAGUGGGCUGUGGAGCGUCCUCGCAGUCUCACUCCAAACCGUCCUCUCCCUCGGGCUCUACGUGAAGAAGAGGAGAAUGCUGGAGGAGAUAAAGACGAGGGAAGACAAAUGGAGGAGGACGAGGAAGAAUUGGGAUGUUCAGACCGUGAGCCUGUCCUCUCUGCAACUCAAAGUCCCAGUUUUAGUCCUAAUCCUAGUCCUAAUCCUAGUCCUAAUCCAGACCCGGAGGACUCGGGGCCGCUCUCGGCGGGGGAGGGGGCAUUGGGCUCCAUCACUCCUGCAGGAAGCUUCUCUCGGUCGGGCUCCCUGUCGGACUUCAGCCGCCCCCCCUCCAGCCGGUUCAGCCGCAGCACCGACCCGUCCAGUCGCCAGAGUAGCAGAGCUUUCUCAGGUUGUGUGAUCCAAAGCGAUGAUGAGGAUCAUGACAGCAGCAAUGGGGCUGGCAAUAAUGCUGCUACUGCUACUGCUACUGCUGACAAUGAUGACAAUGAUGAUGGUGAUGAUGCUGAUGAUGCUGAUGAUGAUAGUGAUCUUAAUCACCAAGGACAACAGUCUCUACCCUCCCACCGCCCCCCUUCAAGAUUGCCUCCACUUCCUGUUACCCCAUGUUCUGUAGCUCCUCCCUCAGAACCCAAAUCAAGCCAGCCUCUAGAACCCACACACUCACCCAGAACCUCAGGUAAGAGGUCCAGCGGGGCUGUAGGGCUCAAGAAGGUACCGAAGGAGAACGUUGAUGACCUGGUCCGGAACCAGCUAGCGGACCUGACUCCUCACCCUUCGCUUGGUUCUGUGUCUUUGGCCACCUGGAGAACCUCCUCUCGCUGUCUGUCCGGGCUGAGCAAAUCAGCAUCCAGCGCUUCCAAUGUGGACCAAUCAGAAUGGACCAGCCAGCGUUGGUCCCGCCUACCACCCAUCAUGCCUAGUGGAGGUGUCAGUAGGUCAGGGAUAUCCAGCUGUUCUCAGGUCAGUGCUGCUGAGCAUAAAGACGAUGAUGAUGAUGAUGAUGAUGAUGAUGAUGAUGAUGAUGAUGAUGAAGACGACGUCUUUGCUGAGCUGGAAGCUGUGGCUCCCCGCACAGGAUCAUGUAUGUUCAUAGACCACCCAGAGAGCAGUGGAGCAGAGACUGGCCCCACCUCUCCUGUGAUAGGUACAAUCACACACACACACACACACACACACACACACACACACACACACACACAUGCACACACAGACAGACACUCACACACACACACACACACACACACAGACAGACAGACAGUCACACACACACACACACUCACACACACUCACACACAUACAGACAGACAGUCACACACACACACACACACACACACACACACACACACACACACACACACACACAUGCACACACAGACAGACACACACACACACACACACACACACACACACACACACACACACACACACACACACACACACACACAGACAGACAGACACUCACACACACACACACACUCACACACACUCACACACAUACAGACAGACAGUCACACACACACACACACACACACACACACACAGACAGACACUCACACACACACACACACACACAUGCACACACAGACAGACACUCACACACACACACACACACACACACACACACACACACACACAGACAGACAGACACUCACACACACACACACACUCACACACACACACACACAUACAGACAGACAGACAAUCACACACACACACACACACACACACACACACAGACACUCACACACACACACACAGACACACACACAGACAGACAGACACUCACACACACACACACACACACACACUCACACACACAAACAGAGAUAGACAGACAAAUACUCACACACACACACACACACACACACAGACACUCUUACACACGCACAGACUCACACACAAAGACAGACAGACAGACACACACACACACACACACAAACAGACACUCACACACACACACACACACACUAAAUAUCAACAGUCACGCAGUUCCACACUGACUCAUGUAACGGUGCAAUAUCCUAGAAUAGCGAACAAAGAGACCUUCCUUCCUACCGUCCACAAUAUACAAAUGGUUGGGUCAACAUUUCUGAAGCUUACUGG